rnacentral:lncRNA from 10 species
UUAAGCCUGUUUCUCAUCUCUAUGCGUUCUACUUAUAUUCUUUAUCUAAGUGUUCCUGGCCUUCCCUUUAUCUCAAGUGCUCAUUCUUCUCCUACUUCUGGAUUUUAAAAGCAGCAUACAUGCACCCCUUCUGGGGCACUUGUCACAUUGUAGUGUAUUCAUUUGGGCAGAAUAUGUUGCCUUUCUUCCUCCCUAGUCCGUAUAUUCACUGGAGGACAUCAUCACAUUUGGUUAAUGAUAUUUUUGAAUAAUCAAAGGACACAAAGUUGUAAGUGGCAAUAUGCAAUAUCUCUUUUGUUUGUUUCAUUUCUAUAAUUUUCCCGUGGAACUUACAUUUGUGGUUUCUUUUGAAUAAACUUAGAAAUUGACUCUCCCAGUGUUAAAACUUGAGAAAGUUACAUUUGUCUUAUCCGAGUUCCUUUCUCGGAAAACCAACCGUCAGGCCUCACAGAUAGUAUAAAGGAACAGAAACUUACCAGUUCAUUAAUCGCCAAUGCCACACCUCCCCUAAACCGUAGCAGCAUGGAGACAGAAACUGUGUACUUUGCAAAGGGAGCGCACAACAACUGAAGGACUUUACAUUGAACUCAGUGCUGCCCUGCCACAGUGAAGAGAGAUAAGUUGGGUUCAGUCACCACCCAUGCAGGGAGAGAGCUUUUAGAUCAGACCUAGCCAAAGGGGUACUGCCCAUCCCAGUGACAGGAACUUGAGUUUCUCUAUAAGCCUCACCGCUGUGGGCUAAAGUGCUCUGGGGUCCUAGGUAAACUCAAAAGGCAAUCUAAGGACACAAGGACUGCAAUUUCUAGGCAACUCCUAAUGCUAGGCUAUGCUUACAGCCAGAGAGCUAGGGUGCAUGUGACAGGGAGACACCAGGUGGCACAUAGCAGAUAGAUAGCUUUUGCCAUCCCUCUCCUAACCUCAGGCAGUGCAGCUUGUAGCAGUGUCAGUUACUCUUUCCUUCUCCUAAGGGAGAGAAGAGCAAAAAGUAAAGAGGACUUUAUCUUGCAUCUUGGAUACCAGCUCAGACAUAGUAGGAUAGGGCAGCAGGUAGAGUUGUGAGGUCCCCAUUCCAGGACCUAGCUUCUGGAAGAGAUUUCUAGGUACACACUGGGCCAAAAGGGAACCUGCUGCACUGAAUGGAAAAAUGCAGUCUAGACAGGAUUUAUCACCUGCUGAUUAAAGAGACCUUGGUCCCAGAAUAAUGACCAGCAAUAAGCAGGGAGUAUGCUUUGGGCCUUGGGUUCUCAGAUGUCCUGGCUUCAGGGGAGACCCUGAACAUUCCCAGCUGUGGUGCAUAUGGUGAAAGAUUCCUUCUGUUUAAAAAAAAAAAAAAAAAAAAAAAAAGGUAAAGAGGACUAUGUCUUACACAGCAUAGGUAACAGCUUGACUACAAUGAGGUAGAGAAACAAACAGUCUUUUUGGGGUCCUCCAGUU